GGUAUCUAAGGGUCACGCCGCUCUCAAGUCGCUCUCUCUCCUCCUCCACGCCUUUUUUUCAUCGAACUUCCUCGCCCAUACGCCGCCUGAUUCCAAACAGAAUAUCACGUACUGGUCUCCGAUCCGUGUGCAAGCGUCUCUCGAUCUCGCGCAUCGACGCUUCGAUUUUUCCCUUUUGUUUUUGGGUUUCUGUGUUGUUGUUGUUUGAGGGCGUGUCGCGUUGUCCGCUUAUACUGUGCUCCAUUAAGCGACGCGUGAACACCUUCCCCUCCCCCCUCCUCAAGCCAGGCUACGUACCACCAGCACCUGUCUCUGUCUCUCCACCAAUUUCGAGACAAGUUGUCUGCCAGGGUCGGAUAUCUGUUGCUCUUCGGUGUUUGCUCACUCGCUCUCUCUCUCUGGAGUUCCAAGUCUGGAAGGGAUCCGGUGGCAUCUUUUCUUUGCCUAUUUCCUUUUUGAACUAGCGCGCGUCUGUGUAGCCUCGCCUCCCUCGGCGCCCCCAUCGCUUCGCCGUCGCUUCCCGUUAGCCUUUGCAGUUGCCUUUCUGUGGUUUCUAAAGGACAACAUAAAAGGAACGGAAGCAGGAAAAGAUGACGCGGAAAGACAACCUAACACUCAUGGCCGUGUGCCUCGUGUCCGCCAUGCUGGUGGUGUCGGCUGCGGCUGCCGCUGAUGGCAGCGGCAAGGUGGAGUCGCCGUGCAUCGGUGUCGACCUUGGUACGACGUACUCGGUCGCCGGUGUGUGGCAGAAGGGUGAGGUCCACAUCGUCACGAACGAGAUGGGUAACCGCAUCACCCCGUCUGUGGUCGCCUUCACCGACGCAGAGCGUCUGGUCGGCGAUGGCGCGAAGAAUCAGCUGCCGCAGAACCCGGAGAACACCAUCUACGCCAUCAAGCGUCUCAUCGGCCGCAAGUACGCCGACCCCACCGUUCAGAAUGACAAGAAGCUGCUCUCGUACCACAUUGUGGCGGACAAGACUGGCAAGCCGCUCGUGCAAGUGACGGUGAAGGGCCAGCAGAAGCGGUUCACGCCAGAGGAGGUGAGCGCCAUGGUGCUGCAGAAGAUGAAGGAGAUCUCUGAGACCUUCCUCGGCGAGAAGGUGAAGAACGCCGUCGUGACGGUGCCAGCGUACUUUAAUGAUGCACAGCGUCAGGCAACGAAGGAUUCCGGUAAGAUCGCCGGCCUUAACGUCGUCCGCAUCAUCAACGAGCCCACAGCGGCCGCCAUAGCGUAUGGGCUCAACAAGGCUGGCGAGAAGAACAUCCUGGUCUUCGACCUCGGUGGCGGCACGUUCGAUGUGUCCCUGCUGACAAUCGACGAGGGUUUCUUCGAGGUGGUCGCGACGAACGGUGAUACUCACCUCGGUGGUGAAGACUUCGAUAACAACAUGAUGAAGUUUUUUGUGGACGGCCUCAAGCGCAAGCAGAACGUCGACAUCUCGAAUGACCAGAAGGCCCUGGCCCGUCUGCGCAAGGCAUGCGAGGCUGCGAAGCGUCAGUUGUCGUCCCACCCGGAGGCGCGCGUAGAGGUGGACAGCCUUGUCGAGGGCUACGACUUCAGCGAGAAGAUCACGCGGGCCAAGUUCGAGGAGCUGAACAUGGCCCUCUUCAAGAACACGCUGGUGCCCGUGCAGAAGGUGCUGGAGGAUGCAAAGCUGAAGAAGAGUGACAUCGACGAGAUCGUCCUAGUCGGCGGCUCGACCCGAAUUCCGAAGGUGCAGCAGCUCAUCAAGGACUUCUUCAGCGGCAAGGAGCCGAACAAGGGCAUCAACCCCGACGAGGCCGUCGCGUACGGCGCUGCGGUGCAGGCGGCCGUGCUGACGGGCGAGAGCGAGGUGGGCGGCAAGGUCGUGCUGGUCGAUGUGAUUCCCUUGUCUCUGGGCAUCGAGACCGUCGGCGGAGUCAUGACGAAGCUGAUCGAGCGCAACACGCAGAUUCCUACCAAGAAGAGCCAGAUCUUCUCCACCUAUCAGGACAACCAACCCAGCGUGCUGAUCCAGGUCUUCGAGGGCGAGCGCGGGAUGACGAAGGACAAUCGCUUGCUUGGCAAGUUCGACCUCUCCGGCAUCCCGCCGGCGCCGCGCGGCGUGCCGCAGAUCGAGGUCGCCUUCGAUGUGGACGAGAACAGCAUCCUGCAGGUGACGGCUAGCGACAAGUCUUCUGGAAAGCGGGAGGAGAUCACCAUCACAAAUGACAAGGGCCGCCUCAGCGAGGAGGAGAUCGAGCGCAUGGUGCGCGAGGCUGCCGAGUUCGAGGAUGAGGACCGCAAGGUGCGCGAACGUGUCGAAGCGAAGAACUCGCUAGAGAGCAUCGCGUACUCGCUUCGCAACCAGAUCAACGACAAGGACAAGCUUGGUGACAAGCUCGCCGCGGACGACAAGAAGGCGAUCGAGGAGGCUGUGAAGGAUGCCCUCGACUUUGUCGACGAGAACCCCAAUGCAGACCGUGAGGAGUUCGAGGCUGCACGCACGAAGCUGCAGAGUGUGACGAACCCCAUCAUUCAAAAGGUGUACCAGGGCGCCGCCGGCUCUGGUGCAGAAGAGGCGGACGCGAUGGAUGACUUGUAGUCGGCCGCGUGAAAGAAAAACAAGAAAGCGGAACAUACAAGAAGAGCAGAGAGAAGGGGGUGCGACACCGCACGACACCGACGGCACACAUACAUCAUGGCAUGCUCAGCUUUCACUCUACACGACAAAACAGAGGGUGUCUCCAAACGCCGUCUCGGCACCGAGAUACGGAGAGGUGAAGCGAAAAGCCCACUCAACGAUGGCGGUUCUGUGUUUCUUUGGCAAUCGUGUAUGUGCGCCUUCGCCGCCGUGGUCGAGAUGUGCGCUUCUCCACCACAUCCCUCUCCUUUUUUUCUUUCCCUGUUUUGAGCGUCGCCUCUUUCCUUCUCUGUUCGCUGCAUUAUACCAUUGCGGUUGGGUGUGCGCGCGCGUGUGCGUUGCGCCGUGAACUUUAUGGGGUUCUGUGUGAG
rnacentral:misc_RNA from 1 species